rnacentral:rRNA from 1 species
AUUGAACGCUGGCGGCAUGCCUUACACAUGCAAGUCGAACGGUAACAGGUCUUCGGAUGCUGACGAGUGGCGAACGGGUGAGUAAUACAUCGGAACGUGCCCGAUCGUGGGGAUAACGCAGCGAAAGCUGUGCUAAUACCGCAUACGAUCUACGGAUGAAAGCGGGGAUCGCAAGACCUCGCGCGGACGGAGCGGCCGAUGGCAGAUUAGGUAGUUGGUGGGAUAAAAGCUUACCAAGCCGACGAUCUGUAGCUGGUCUGAGAGGACGACCAGCCACACUGGGACUGAGACACGGCCCAGACUCCUACGGGAGGCAGCAGUGGGGAAUUUUGGACAAUGGGCGCAAGCCUGAUCCAGCCAUGCCGCGUGCAGGAUGAAGGCCUUCGGUUGUAAACUGCUUU